AAGUCGUAACAAGGUUUCCGUAGGUGAACCUGCGGAAGGAUCAUUACAGAGUUCAUGCCCCUCGACGGGUCAGAUCUCCCCACCCUUGUCAUAUAUAAUUAUCUGUUGCUUUGGCGGGCCGCGAGCCUAACGCUUGCCGGGUUCUGCCCGGCGUGCCCGCCAGAGGAAACCUAAACUCUGAAUGAUUUAGUGUCGUCUGAGUACUAUAUAAUAGUUAAAA
rnacentral:misc_RNA from 1 species